rnacentral:misc_RNA from 1 species
GAUGAAGAACGUAGCGAAAUGCGAUAAGUAAUGUGAAUUGCAGAAUUCAGUGAAUCAUCGAAUCUUUGAACGCACAUUGCGCCCGCCAGUAUUCUGGCGGGCAUGUCUGUUCGAGCGUCAUUUCAACCAUCAAGCCCCCGGGCUUGUGUUGGGGACCUGCGGCUGCCGCAGGCCCUGAAAACCAGUGGCGGGCUCGCUAGUCACUCCGAGCGUAGUAGUUACAUCUCGCUCAGGGCGUGCUGCGGGUUCCGGCCGUUAAAAGCCUUUUACCCCAAGGUUGACCUCGGAUCAGGUAGGAAGACCCGCUGAACUUAAGCAUAUCAAUAAGCGGAGG